rnacentral:lncRNA from 10 species
UUAUUAGUACAGGAAAUGACAUGGAAAACGGAAGAAAGCGGCGUUUGGGGCAGACGCGGACCCCCCAAUUCAGGGGCCGGAGCCGGGACUCACCAGCCGCGUCCCGACCCGGCCCCGGAGAAAACUCCCGGGGCCCCUUAGGCCCGCGCCCUGCCCGGAGGGGGGAACCCGGCUCUCCAAACCCAAAGGGAGAGGGAGCGUUUUAUAAUCCAGCCCGUGGAGAAAUCGAGAAAAAAAUAGAUGAAAAAAAGAAAAGGUUAAGAGAGAACUUUCGAACUGGGAUACUUUUUUGGGGUCAGAAGUAAAAGUUCUCAAAUUUUAAUAAAGUCAUUGUGAGGGGGGCUCCCUGGCUCUCCCGGUCGCGUGGCUGUCCAUUUGGAACCAAAUAGUCGGGGGGAGUCGACGCGUUUGGAUUUUUAACCCUUUCAGGGCUCCGCGGCUGGCCCCCUCCCGGUCCCAUUUAACCCUUUGAAUGCUCAGCAGUUUGGAGAUACAAACUGAAGUUGCGAGACGCAGGCGUCCCGCGAAGGCUGAGGCAUCUGAUUCCCCUUCCAGUGGCUGGAGAACAUCCCACCUUCUGAGCCUUGGGGAGAAGCAGAGUGUGCCCUUUCCCUGCCCACUGGAGAAGCUGAAACAACAAAAACUCCCUUCCCUGGCCUCCCUGCAGGAGACUCCAGGAAGACUCCUGAAUGCCACACACUCCUAAACCUGAGAGACCUUCAUGCAGAUUGGGGAGCAGCUUUAGGACUGCUGGGUGGAGCCACAAUGAGACAGAUAAGCUCCAGGAAAAUAAGAAGUGCCGAAACAAUGGAGCCACCCAACAAAAAGGGCUGCCACUGCAAGUGGUGAGCUUCCUGUUACUGGAGGUGUGUAAGCCAAGGUUGGGGGCUCUUCUGAAGAUAAUUUAUGCCCAGGUAGAUGUUAUGUUUAAUGAUCUCCAAAGUCCCACCAUAGGGGAAUAUUCUUGAUUCCAGAAAUGGUGCAGCCACAUUGCUGGUGGAGAGCACUGUCGUGAAAGAAUAGAGAUCUGGGCCAGGAGCCAAGAGAUGUGGGUUCUAGUCCCACCCCUGUUAUUUGACUCCUGGGGGACUACAGUCAGAUCCUGUAUCUGCUCAGAGCCUCACUGGUUUUCUCUCAAUUUGUAAAGUGAGGGACCAGUUUCCACAUGUCAAUCCAUACAGCCACCCUUGUCAGAGAACAUUUCCCUUGUCCUUGAGAAGAUGAAAACCAUAAAGCAAUGUAGCAUUGUUUUCAUAAAGCUAAAGCUAUUCAAUUUAAAGGAUGAUCUUCAUUUUGAGAUAAUAUAUUUCCUACUAUUUUUGGUGUUCAAAUGUCCUUUUUCUUUUAUGCAAGGGUAAUAAUAGCAUGUGUAGAAGAUGAAAAUGGUGUUAUUGUUUUUCUGAGGGACCCUACUUGGCAAAAUAAAAGGUUGACAAACCUACAGUAGUUCCCUCCAGUUAUGAAAGUAAGAAAUAUAGGAAUCACUGGGCUUAAUGAUUCCAAAUAACCUUCAACAUUGUUUCUCUCUCUUUCCCUGAACUCAUCCCUCCAUUUCUAAAACACUGAUUGACACGUCAGACACGAGAGCCACUAAGAUGAGUGAGACACCUACAGUCCCUUCCUAUGUGAAGCUCAGAGUAUCCCAAGGAAGACCAACACAUAGGCACAUAAACGAAUGGAUAUUUAGGUUAGAUCACAUUUUUUAUCAUAAAAAUACGACAGUACACAUCCUUAGUUGUAUCUUUUGUUUGCUUCUCUGGUUAUUCCCUUAAGAUGAGUUCCCAAAAUGAAA